rnacentral:rRNA from 1 species
AUUGAACGCUGGCGGCAUGCCUUACACAUGCAAGUCGAACGGUAACAGGUCUUCGGAUGCUGACGAGUGGCGAACGGGUGAGUAAUACAUCGGAACGUGCCCGAUCGUGGGGGAUAACGAAGCGAAAGCUUUGCUAAUACCGCAUACGAUCUACGGAUGAAAGCAGGGGACCGCAAGGCCUUGCGCGAACGGAGCGGCCGAUGGCAGAUUAGGGAGUUGGUGGGGUAAAGGCUCACCAAGCCAACGAUCUGUAGCUGGUCUGAGAGGACGACCAGCCACACUGGGACUGAGACACGGCCCAGACUCCUACGGGAGGCAGCAGUGGGGAAUUUUGGACAAUGGGCGCAAGCCUGAUCCAGCAAUGCCGCGUGCAGGAAGAAGGCCUUCGGGUUGUAAACUGCUUUUGUACGGAACGAAACGGUCCUGGUUAAUACCUGGGGCUAAUGACGGUACCGUAAGAAUAAGCACCGGCUAACUACGUGCCAGCCGCCGCCGUAAAAC